AUCGCUUCUCGGCCUUUUGGCUAAGAUCAAGUGUAGUAUCUGUUCUUAUCAGUUUCAUGCUCGUGGACAAUCACAACGGUGUGGAGCUGGUGGGGAUGGGUGCUGCAUGGUAGGGAGCAGGUGUACCGGGGCGUUCCGGGGCUGGUUCUGAGGAAUAAUCCCGACGGCUGCCCCGAUGUGACCUGCU